rnacentral:misc_RNA from 1 species
UCCGAGUUACCCCGGCAGUCUUUCCAGAGUCCCCGGCAUUACCCGCUGGCAACUGAAAACGGGGGUUGCGCUCGUUGCGGGACUUAACCCAACAUCUCACGACACGAGCUGACGACAGCCAUGCAGCACCUGUGCAGGAACUCCGAAGAGGGCCUCUGGUUUCUCAGAGGUUUCUCCUGCAUGUCAAGCCUAGGUAAGGUUCUUCGCGUUGCGUCGAAUUAAACCACAUGCUCCACCGCUUGUGCGGGCCCCCGUCAAUUCCUUUGAGUUUCAGCCUUGCGGCCGUACUCCCCAGGCGGGGCACUUACUGCGUUAGCGACGACACUCAGGGGGUCGCUCCCCCAAGCAUCUAGUGCCCAUCGUUUACGGCGUGGACUAC